UACGCUCGCACAGCCGAACGGUUCACCCGGGCGCCAUCCGGGUGAGGCAAGAGGGAACCCGGUGGAACUCCGGGACUGCCCCGCAGCGGUAAGUGGGAACGACCGCCGUCAUGACGCACUGGGAGACCGGGAAGCGACGGCCAGUAGGACGGACCGGGCCUGGUCCACCGCCCACGAGUCCGAAGACCUGCCGUCGGUACGUGCACCGC
rfam:Cellulomonas bogoriensis 69B4 = DSM 16987 strain 69B4 contig17, whole genome shotgun sequence.